AUGAGGGCCAUCGCCUGGAACUGCCGAGGUAUGGGCAGAAGCCUUGGUAGUGAGAGGAUGCUCUAUCUUGCCAACUUGAUGCGGUCUACGAAGACACAGGUAACAUUUGUUUCAGAAAUCAAGUCUUCCAAAGUCCAUUCUGUCGAUCUUGUUAAUAGGUUUGAUGUUGCCAACGGCUUUGUUGUUCCUUCUAGAGGUGCCUCAGGUGGCCUUUGGCUUAUGUGGACCGAUGAGCUCAAAGUUUCUGUGCAUGCUGCUGCUUUUCACUAUAUUUUAGCAAAUGUAGUUCAUGCAGCUUCAGGGGUCAACUUUUGUCUUAUUUGUAUAUAUGGCAACCCGUAUCACAGGCAGACUAAUGCCAUCUGGGACCAAGUUGCUGAUUUUGUCUAUGAUAACCUAGGAAAGCCCAUGGUUUGUAUGGGGGACCUUAAUGAUAUCCUUUAUGAUGUGGAUGCGUGUGAUGGUAAUAUUAACUUCUAUCAUAUGAAUGCUUUCAGGUCUCUUGUUAAAAAUUGUGGGCUGUUUGAUAUUGGUUAUAGUGGUCCUUCUUAUACUUGGCGUGGUAGGCAACAUACUUCUAAGCCCAUUCAUAGACGUCUUGAUCGAUGCUUGGUCAAUUCUGAUUGGUGCGCUUUUUAUCCUAAUACUAAAGUGCUGAAUCUUCCUAUUAUUCUUGGUGACCAUGCUCCCAUUUUAAUUUCCUCGGAAGGUAAACUUGUUAGGCCUAGACAAUCUUUUAAAUUUGAAAAUUGGUGGCUUAUGGAAAUUUUUUUUCACUCUUUUGCUAAAAAUAAUUGGAUUUCUAGUUCCCUGACCUCUUUUCCUGCAAAGUCAUCUUGUUUGGCAGGAUCUUUAAAAGUCUGGUGCAAGAAGAAAAAACCUCUCCAACAAGAACUUGCUGAGCUAGAAUCCAGAAUCAAGGAUUUGCAACAGCUGCCUCUCCACCAACAGGACCAUGUUUUGGAAAGUACUCUUACUAAUAGGCCUUUUUCUUCCCCUAUUUGGACUAAUGACAACAAUGAUCCUACUUAUUCUAUUCCGGACAAGACUGAACUUUUGCGGAUUCUUAAAGACAUGAAGCUUAAUGCUUCUCCUGGUCCUGAUGGGUUCAAUGUAGAAUUUUAUUUAGCUACUUGGGAUUGGAUUGGAGAUGAGGUAACUCAGCUUGUCACUCACUUCUAUAAUACUGCUACACUUCCCCCUCACAUCAAUGAUACCAAUAUUGCUCUUAUCCCUAAGAAGUUGGUUCCUCUUGUGCCCAUGGACUACCGUCCUAUUAGUCUUUGUAAUGUGCUUUAUAAAAUCAUUGCUAAGUCUCUUGCGAAUAGACUUAAGCAUCAUCUUCCUGAUUACAUUGACCAAGCUCAACAAGCAUUUAUUGAGGGUAGACGUAUUAGUGACAACGUUAUCAUUGCUCAGGAAAUUGCUCACUCGUUUUCUCUUAAAUCCUGA
rnacentral:rRNA from 1 species